CUUUCCUCAGGAGCAAGGAAGAAUGAUUCUGUUUUCUUUAUCUUUCAAAGGAAAAUGUGAGAUGUAUAUUCGGGGAAAAUUACUAUUUGCCAACUUUAUUUUCAAUGGUUAUGGCACAUCUGCUAAGGAUCUUCAAAAGCAAACUGUGAAGACAAGGAGUGAUUAUCAUAUGGGAUAUUUCCUACCCAAUGACUUCAGGAUCCGGGCUCAACCUACUUCGUGUUUUGAAAAUGAGGAUACAUUUCUCUAAAAACAAAACUGACAUAACAAAAACAACCUAGCCAAAGAAAUCCUUGGCAUCAUGCGGUAUCCAAUUCAAAUAGAAAGUACUAUAGAAAAAGCUAAUUUGACUACACUGGUUUUAAUCAGCGCCAAAAAUAUUAGCAGCGU
ensembl:lncRNA